UGGGGAAUAUUGCACAAUGGGCGAAAGCCUGAUGCAGCAACGCCGCGUGAGUGAUGAAGGCCUUCGGGGUUGUAAAAGCUCUGUCUUUUGGGACGAUAAUGACGGUACCAAAGGAGGAAGCCACGGCUAACUACGUGCCAGCAGCCGCGGUAAUACGUAGGUGGCAAGCGUUGUCCGGAUUUACUGGGCGUAAAGGAUGCGUAGGCGGAUUUUUAAGUGGAUGUGAAACCUAAACGCAGUAUACUUGGGGGACUGCAUUUCAUACUGGAAAUCUAGAGUGCGGGAGAGGAGAAUGGAAUUCCUAGUGUAGCGGUGAAAUGCGUAGAGAUUAGGAAGAACAACCAGUGGCGAAGGCGAUUCUCUGGACCGUAACUGACGCUGAGGCAUGAAAGCGUGGGUAGCAAACAGGAUUAGAUACCCUGGUAGUCCACGCCGUAAACGAUGAGUACUGGGUGUAGGAGGUAUCGACCCCUUCUGUGCCGCAGUUAACACAAUAAGUACUCCGCCUGGGAAGUACGAUCGCAAGAUUAAAACUCAAAUGAAUUGAC
rnacentral:rRNA from 1 species